UCCUUCUCCUAAACCACUAGAUGUCAUCAAUAAGAGUUUCAAAUUUCCAAAAACUGUUUUACGGUUAAGCAAGCCACGAGUUUCUCGUCGAGCGCUUGUUCAUUCUUUUGAUGAUUGUGCAGGAAAAAGGAGUAUUCCACCCAUACCUGAGUCCCACCCUUCUGAUGCUCCUCUCUUUCUAGAUAGACUUCAUGCGUUAACUGCUUAUACGCCAGCAUGGAUGAUGAGAGGUCUUUCUCCGUAAUAUUUACUGCCACCUUCUGAUCCACCUGAUCCCAAUACUCCAUCAAAGUCAAGUUAUUGACUAUAAACAAGCGCUUAGUGGGUGACAACUCACUGGUAUGAUUUUGUUUUUCAUUUCCUUUU
rnacentral:sRNA from 1 species